UCUGUAAUCCCAGCACUUUGGGAGGCUGAGGCGGGUGGAUCACAAAGUCAGGAGUUUGAAACCAACCUGACGAAUGUGGUGAAACCCCGUCUCUACGAAAAAUACAAAAAUUAGCUGGGCGCAGUGGCAUGAGCCUGUAGUUCCAGCUACUUGGGAGGCUGAGGCAGGAGAAUUGCUCAUGGUAGAGGUUGCAGUGAGCCGAGAUCACGCCACUGCACUCCAGCCUGGGCGAC
rnacentral:lncRNA from 1 species